GAGCGCCCCGCAAGGGGAGCGGCAGACGGGAGAGUAACACGUGGGAACGUGCCCUUUGGUUCGGAACAACCCAGGGAAACUUGGGCUAAUACCGGAUAAGCCCUUACGGGGAAAGAUUCAUCGCCGAAGGAUCGGCCCGCGUCUGAUUAGCUAGUUGGUGGGGUAAUGGCCCACCAAGGCGACGAUCAGUAGCUGGUCUGAGAGGAUGAUCAGCCUCACUGGGACUGAGACACGGCCCAGACUCCUACGGGAGGCAGCAGUGGGGAAUAUUGGACAAUGGGCGCAAGCCUGAUCCAGCCAUGCCGCGUGGGUGAUGAAGGCCCUAGGGUUGUAAAGCCCUUUCGGCGGGGAAGAUAAUGACGGUACCCGCAGAAGAAGCCCCGGCUAACUUCGUG
rnacentral:rRNA from 1 species